GUCCAAAAUCCACCAAAGAAAGUGACCUCUGAGAAAGUGAGCCAGAAACAUGCUGAGCCUUUGACAGACACUGGCUCUGAGACCCCGACUGCCCGACGGCUCUACACUGCCAGCGGGCCUCCUGAGGGCUACGUCCCCUGUUGGCCGGAGCCCAGCAGCUGUGGGAGCCCCGAGAACGCCUCCAGCGGGGAUGACACAGAAGAGAAAAUGCCCAGAGCAAGCCCCAAGCACAGCCUUGCAGCUGCAGAGCCGAUGGAGCCUCCAGGGCCCUCAGGAGCCAGAGGCCAGGAGAAGCAAGGAUGGGACCCCUCUCUCUCUGACCCUCCAAGGUCAGUGUGGGAACACGGCACACAAGAAGGAAGAGCCUUUGAGCUUUUUUGGUUGCAGUUUUAAGCACAGAGAUCAGGAUCCUCAUGACCAGCCAAAGAGAAGAAGAAUUAGGAAGCAUAAAUCAAAGAAAAAAUUUAAAAAUCCCAAUAAUGUUCUUAUAGAACAAGCAGAAUUAGAGAAACAGCAGAGUCUGUUACAGGAGAAAUCUCAGCGACAGCACACAGAUGGCACCACAAUAAGCAAAAAUAAAAAAAGGAAACUGAAAAAGAAACAGCAAAUUAAAAGGAAGAAAGCAGCCGGCUUGGCAGCAAAGGCUGCUGGUGUCAGUUUCAUGUACCAGCCCGAGGACAGC
rnacentral:lncRNA from 1 species